rnacentral:rRNA from 1 species
GACGAACGCUGGCGGCGUGCUUAACACAUGCAAGUCGAACGGAAAGGCCCUGCUUUUGUGGGGUGCUCGAGUGGCGAACGGGUGAGUAACACGGGAGUAACCUGCCCUUGACUUUGGGAUAACUUCAGGAAACUGGUGCUAAUACCGGAUAGGAGCUCCUGCUGCAGGGUGGGGGUUGGAAAGUUUCGGCGGUUGGGGAUGGACUCGCGGCUUAUCAGCUUGUUGGUGGGGUAGUGGCUUACCAAGGCUUUGACGGGUAGCCGGCCUGAGAGGGUGACCGGCCACAUUGGGACUGAGAUACGGCCCAGACUCCUACGGGAGGCAGCAGUGGGGAAUAUUGCACAAUGGGCGGAAGCCUGAUGCAGCAACGCCGCGUGCGGGAUGACGGCCUUCGGGUUGUAAACCGCUUUCGCCUGUGACGAAGCGUGAGUGACGGUAAUGGGUAAAGAAGCACCGGCUAACUACGUG